AACGAACGCUGGCGGCAUGCCUAACACAUGCAAGUCGAACGAGACCUUCGGGUCUAGUGGCGCACGGGUGCGUAACGCGUGGGAACCUGCCCUUAGGUUCGGAAUAACUCCCCGAAAGGGGUGCUAAUACCGGAUAAUGUCUUCGGACCAAAGAUUUAUCGCCUUUGGAUGUGCCCGCGUUGGAUUAGCUAGUUGGUAGGGUAAAAGCCUACCAAGGCGACGAUCCAUAGCUGGUCUGAGAGGAUGAUCAGCCACACUGGGACUGAGACACGGCCCAGACUCCUACGGGAGGCAGCAGUGGGGAAUAUUGGACAAUGGGCGAAAGCCUGAUCCGGCAAUGCCGCGUGAGUGAUGAAGGCCUUAGGGUUGUAAAGCUCUUUUACCCGGGAUGAUAAUGACAGUACCGGGAGAAUAAGCUCCGGCUAACUCCGUG
rnacentral:rRNA from 1 species